AAUAAGCUAUUCCAUACCCGACCUAACUCGCGCCCGAGCCGACCCCGCGCCGAGCUCCUCCCACCCGUCCGAUUUUUCUCCUCGCCGGUUCCCGGAUGGUCACCCCCAGCUCGUAACAGAUAGUGGCCACGAUCUCGUCUUCCUGCGCCGCCUGCUCUCCCGUCUUGCCCGGCGUCGCUUGCUCUCCCGUCCUGCCCUUGCGCCGCCGGCGACCGUGCCGCCCCGGCGAGCUGCACCCCUCACCGACCAACACGCACCCCCACCCAUCCCACGCCGCCAGCUCGUUUCCGAUUUUGCAUACCCUGAUUUUUUUUCCCACAGUUGUCGGUUUCCAAUUAGAUCGAUCAUUCCGCUCCGCUCCUCCCGUCGCCAUCGACGGUUCCGUGCUCUGCGAGUUCGAUCUGUUUUUUCCAGCCGCCGUCGACCCCUAGGAGAGCUCCUUCCGAUGGCGCCGGAGUCCUGCCACCUGAUCCGCUCGGCCUGCCUUCCACUCCGCAUGAGCUCCCUCAGCACACGCGGGAGCAUCCAUCUCCGUGCCCUUGCGCUGGACCCGUGUGGCAGCAAGGCGUCGAUUGCGAGUUUCCUCACGCCCGGCGCCGGCGGCUUCCUCCUCACCUCGAGCAGUGGAACGCUUUGGAGAUCCACCGGCCCAGGUACACAAGACCGACGUGGAGCAGCUCAGAAGAGUUUCAGUUUUUUCAGAUGAAUCGCUGCUGAUUCCCCCGCAUGGUGCAAGGUGCCAUCUACCCUCACCCUUAUUGGACAAUUUCUAUCAUAGGUGCCGAUGCUUUGUCCAGGUUGUAGUUCAAAUUAGGUUGUUGUAAACGGUAUCUGUGUGAUUCUUAUCCAACUUUCCCUUCCCUGUUCUUGUCAGUGUAUCCUAACAAAAUGUCGAUCCGCAGGGUUGGUUCUCAACCGAGCAGUGGGGGGUGACGCCGCACCCGCACGCUUCCAUGAUUUUCAGUCCGAUCACUCCCGGGUACCAAUGCAGGGGCACCCUCCCUUGAGCUGCGCAAUGCAUGGAUGAGGUUCGGUAUUGGGGGCUUUACAUGCUUCGAGACAUAGACAAGGAUGCUGAAUGCGCGCCUGCAGCCAGUAGACAAGGAAGCGGUCACAGGUACCCAUGUAUUUCAGUGUUGCUGCUCCUGCUUUAGCUGGAGACGAUGGCCACGAGCUCAACUAGUUAAUGGGAGGACAUCAUGCGCCUGUCUCUUCUCUAAUCGUGCCAACUGAAUUGUGUGCACUAUCAGAGCCGUGGGCUAGUAGCCGAGCAAUCAGUAGCUGUCAGCUCAUCAGUUAUGCUUGUAUAUUGUGCAGAAGGCCGGCUACAAGGACUGCUUUGCUGGAGUUGCUUUGCCGGAGAUCGGGGCCUGGAGAUGUUUGCUUGCCAAAAAUCUCACGCACAGGAGUGCUGUAACUGGAGGAGUUCCUUGCUUGCUUGCCGGAGAUGGCGGGUGGAUGGUUAAAUUUAGAUUAGAGGCAUAGAGCGGGUGUACUUCGUACACCAAAUAUCAAUUUGUCAAUCAUAUACAAAUGAAAACCGUAGGCUCUGGAUCAUAAAUGCUGUAUUUUGUUUUAUGUGGAGGCCUAUGGUGAAAUCAUGAAUCCUAAGGUUUUUAAUCAGAGACUUGCAUUUUAUUGUGACACUAAA